rnacentral:rRNA from 1 species
AACGUAGGAGACGAACGUUAUCCGGAGUUACUGGGCGUAAAGGGUGCGUAGGUGGUGCCGUAAGUUGGGUGUGAAAUCCCGGAGCUUAACUCCGGAACUGCAUUCAAUACUGCGGUGCUCGAGUACUGGAGAGGAGAUUGGAAUUCACGGUGUAGCAGUGAAAUGCGUAGAUAUCGUGAGGAAGACCAGUGGCGAAGGCGGCUCUCUGGGACGGUACUGACGCUGAGACGCGAAAGCGUGGGGAGCGAACAGG